UGCAUGGUAAAGUGGAGAGGGGGAUAGACAUUUAUGACAUUCUCUUAAACUUCAAAUAUUUGAGGUAUACCUUAUUCUGAAAUCCCAAAAAAUUCUAAAUGGAACUUUUGCACUUUGACACCACCAAAACCUCAGGUUCACUAACACUUGAGGAAGUAUAGCUCCACAGGAAAGGAAAAACAUAUUUGCAUUUUUGACGCAGACAAUAAGGGAACUCCA
rnacentral:misc_RNA from 1 species